AAGAUUCUGAGCGUGGGAUAGAAGCGGUCCUUGAGCCUGGUGGUACAUGUUAAUGUAUCUUUUGCCCGAUGGGAGAGGGGAGAAGAGAGAAUGUCUGGAUUCUGUUGCUCAUCUAAGUACUGUGGCCAAUUAACCUAUUCAACAUGCACACGUUCUGGAUGUGGGAGCGUACAAACUCAAUACAAGCAAAGGUCUACAGCGCUGUGAGGCGGCAGCUCAACCAGAUAGACGUACCACUGUGCCGUCCACGAAGUACACGUGCAAAUGGCCUACCACCAUGUAGCAACCAUUGGGUAACGGAGAUUCAUCCCUAUAGAUUUUACAAAUCUUUACCUAAAAAAAUUAAGAUAUUUGAGGCAGUCCCACUGGUGAAAAAGGAGAUAAAUCUCUGUGCUGGAUGCUUCAAAGGAUUAUGCAAACUUGGAGAAGGCUGGGGUCAUUUGGCAGCACCUCAUGUUGCCUGUUAAUAAUCAACUAUGUAUAGAUAUCUGCAAAGUACAAGGUUCAAGAAUGCCCAUGAAACAUUAAUGUAAAGUUUGCAAUUUCAGCUAAAAAUCAGAAAAUGUGUUACAUGUUUAACAAAAUAUUAAAAUGUUUAACAAAGUUGUUAGUAUGUCCACACCGUACUACUCUGCAGUCCAGGCAUGCUACUGCCUCUCUGAGGCAGUCUGGAUCUGUUUUUGCUAAGCAGUGACUUCUUCAGAAUGAGAAUCAGAUUCAGGUUUAUUAUCACUGAUAUACGUUGUGAAACAUAUGUCAGUGGAUAGUGGCUCCAUAUGUCACUACUACAGGGCGUGACGACCCUGCCUUACACGAGUCCUGGGCUCAGCUGGCUCUGGCUGACGGUAUCCGGUAUGGGCCCCUAUCCAGGGUUACGGAUCCCACUGCCUUGUGGGUAUCUUCGGGAGAAGAGAAGGCUAAGGAGUAAACCCUACACUCACAAAUCCAGAGUGGAGUCCCUAAGGCGGAUGGAUGAGGUAUCACAUCACCUCCCGGCAGCUCCUGCAGCCAAGCUGAUGCCAAAUGUACUGCUUCGUAUUCCUUUGGACCACAUCCGCCAGGCCGAGAGGGGGAUCUUGAUGUCUGGGCAGCCCAGGAUCUCCAUAUUGAUCGCCCAGGUCUGCGCCCCUGACGGACGCCUCCGUUGUCUACUUAGACAGACGGAGCCAUGAUGAUGAUGAUGUUGUGAAAUGUGUUAUUUUGCUGCAGCAGUACAGUGCAACACGUAAGGAAUAUUUUUUUUUACAGCGGUGCAAAAAGAGAUUAAAAGGUGAGGGUUCAUGGUCCAUUCAGAAAUCUGAUGGCAGAGAGGAAGAAGCUGUUCUUAAAAUAUUGGGAGUGUGUGUGUUAGGUACACCUGCUUCUGCCACGGAGGUGGCAAAGAGACGAGGCCAUGUCCUGAAUGAAGAGGGUCCUUAAUGAUGCAUGUCACCUUCUUAAGGCAUCACAUGUUGAAGAUGUCACUGAUGAUGGGGAAGCUUGGGUCCAUGGUGCAGGAAGGUAUACCUAUCACUAGCUCUGACCCAAGCACAUCAUGAUGGUCCUUAAUCUUAUUACAUAUGAAAAUACUAUCUUACUCAUUCCUUCAAUUAGAAAAUGUUAAUAACAUUUCCAUCUACUCAU